rnacentral:rRNA from 17 species
CCCUUACGACCAGGGCUACACACGUGCUACAAUGGAGCGUACAAAGGGCUGCGAUCUCGCGAGAGUCAGCUAAUCCCAUAAAACGCUUCGUAGUCCGGAUCGCAGUCUGCAACUCGACUGCGUGAAGUCGGAAUCGCUAGUAAUCGCGGAUCAGCUUGCCGCGGUGAAUACGUUCCCGGGUCUUGUACACACCGCCCGUCACACCAUGGGAGCGGGU